rnacentral:rRNA from 1 species
UUUAUGGAGAGUUUGAUCCUGGCUCAGGAUGAACGCUGGCGGCGUGCCUAAUACAUGCAAGUCGAGCGAACGGACGAGAAGCUUGCUUCUCUGAUGUUAGCGGCGGACGGGUGAGUAACACGUGGAUAACCUACCUAUAAGACUGGGAUAACUUCGGGAAACCGGAGCUAAUACCGGAUAAUAUUUUGAACCGCAUGGUUCAAAAGUGAAAGACGGUCUUGCUGUCACUUAUAGAUGGAUCCGCGCUGCAUUAGCUAGUUGGUAAGGUAACGGCUUACCAAGGCAACGAUGCAUAGCCGACCUGAGAGGGUGAUCGGCCACACUGGAACUGAGACACGGUCCAGACUCCUACGGGAGGCAGCAGUAGGGAAUCUUCCGCAAUGGGCGAAAGCCUGACGGAGCAACGCCGCGUGAGUGAUGAAGGUCUUCGGAUCGUAAAACUCUGUUAUUAGGGAAGAACAUAUGUGUAAGUAACUGUGCACAUCUUGACGGUACCUAAUCAGAAAGCCACGGCUAACUACGUGCCAGCAGCCGCGGUAAUACGUAGGUGGCAAGCGUUAUCCGGAAUUAUUGGGCGUAAAGCGCGCGUAGGCGGUUUUUUAAGUCUGAUGUGAAAGCCCACGGCUCAACCGUGGAGGGUCAUUGGAAACUGGAAAACUUGAGUGCAGAAGAGGAAAGUGGAAUUCCAUGUGUAGCGGUGAAAUGCGCAGAGAUAUGGAGGAACACCAGUGGCGAAGGCGACUUUCUGGUCUGUAACUGACGCUGAUGUGCGAAAGCGUGGGGAUCAAACAGGAUUAGAUACCCUGGUAGUCCACGCCGUAAACGAUGAGUGCUAAGUGUUAGGGGGUUUCCGCCCCUUAGUGCUGCAGCUAACGCAUUAAGCACUCCGCCUGGGGAGUACGACCGCAAGGUUGAAACUCAAAGGAAUUGACGGGGACCCGCACAAGCGGUGGAGCAUGUGGUUUAAUUCGAAGCAACGCGAAGAACCUUACCAAAUCUUGACAUCCUUUGACAACUCUAGAGAUAGAGCCUUCCCCUUCGGGGGACAAAGUGACAGGUGGUGCAUGGUUGUCGUCAGCUCGUGUCGUGAGAUGUUGGGUUAAGUCCCGCAACGAGCGCAACCCUUAAGCUUAGUUGCCAUCAUUAAGUUGGGCACUCUAAGUUGACUGCCGGUGACAAACCGGAGGAAGGUGGGGAUGACGUCAAAUCAUCAUGCCCC